AAUAGUCCCGAAAGUGCGCGAGCGUUUGGAUUUUAUGUGAUUUAGAUGAAACAUAAAGUCAAAACGAUGUGCGUAAAUCAUUUCAAAAACAUGGUAAUACACCAUGGUGGAAAAGAAUAAGCCUUUCUAAUACAUCCAAUUAGGAUUUAAUACAAAUAAAUUAAGUUGUUGUAUGAAGAUCUUUAACCACCCAAAUAUAAAAGCAGAUAUAAUGGAGCGUAAAUAUGCAAGUGCCACCUUUGGAAACACAGGAGGGAUGGGUUGUUUUCUAAGUAUUCAACAAGAGCUCUCUCUCCCGUCCCUGUCUCGGACACUCCACUGAAACUCCCCGGCCAUAUCUCUAGCUCUUUGAAAAGAUUGGAAAGGGGCUCCGCAGGAGAAGAGGAGAGUGAGAGGGGCAGCGAAUGGGAGCAGGGUAGGGGCUCUAAUAGAAAGCUGGGAAACGGCGAGAGAAAAAGGAGAAA